ACAUGCGUGUUCAACGGCCGCGGUACCCUAACCGUGCAAAGGUAGCAUAAUCACUCGCCUUUUAAUUGGAGGCUAGUAUGAAUGGAUAAACGAAAGUUUCCCUGUCUCCUUUACGCCUAUAAAAAUUAACCUUUGAGUGAAGAUGCUCAAAUGAAAAUGAAUGACAAGAAGACCCUGUCGAGCUUUACCUCUCAGCGAGGCACCAGUAAGCUCCACGAGAAACUGCAACCUAGCCCCAGGUUAUGUUGGGGCGACAAAGGGAUAAAACAAUCUCCCUAUAUAAAAGAAGACCUAUCAGUCCUUCUGCUGACCCUACCAAGAUCACAAGCACAAGCUACCGCAGGGAUAACAGGCUAAUUCUCCUCGAGAGCCCACAUUAACAGGAGAGUUUGGCACCUCGAUG
rnacentral:rRNA from 1 species